GACGAACGCUGGCGGCGUGCUUAACACAUGCAAGUCGAACGGAAAGGCCCUGCUUUUGUGGGGUGCUCGAGUGGCGAACGGGUGAGUAACACGUGAGUAACCUGCCCUGGACUUUGGGAUAACUUCAGGAAACUGGGGCUAAUACCGGCUAGGAGCUCCUGCUGCAUGGUGGGGGUUGGAAAGUUUCGGCGGUUGGGGAUGGACUCGCGGCUUAUCAGCUUGUUGGUGGGGUAGUGGCUUACCAAGGCUUUGACGGGUAGCCGGCCUGAGAGGGUGACCGGCGACAUUGGGACUGAGAUACGGCCCAGACUCCUACGGGAGGCAGCAGUGGGGAAUAUUGCACAAUGGGCGGAAGCCUGAUGCAGCAACGCCGCGUGCGGGAUGACGGCCUUCGGGUUGUAAACCGCUUUCGCCUGUGACGAAGCGUGAGUGACGGUAAUGGGUAAAGAAGCACCGGCUAACUACGUG
rnacentral:rRNA from 1 species